rnacentral:rRNA from 1 species
UACGGGGGGGUGCGAGCGUUGUCCGGAAUCACUGGGCGUAAAGGGCGCGUAGGUGGUUUGAUAAGGGUGUGGUGAAAGUCCGGGGCUCAACCCCCGGAUCUGCCGUGCCGACUGUCAAACUCGAGGGCUGUAGAGGCAGACGGAAUUCCGGGUGUAGCGGUGGAAUGCGUAGAGAUCCGGAGGAAGACCGGUGGCGAAGGGCGGUCUGCUGGGGCAGUUUCUGGACACUGAUGCGCGACAGCGUGGGGAGCAAACAGGAGUAGAUACCCGGGGUUAGUCC